GGAAUAUUGGACAAUGGGGGGAACCCUGAUCCAGCGACGCCGCGUGAGUGAAGAAGUAUCUCGGUAUGUAAAGCUCUAUCAGCAGGGAAGAAAGAAAUGACGGUACCUGACCAAGAAGCCCCGGCUAACUACGUGCCAGCAGCCGCGGUAAUACGUAGGGGGCAAGCGUUAUCCGGAUUUACUGGGUGUAAAGGGAGCGUAGGCGGUCUGCCAAGUCUGAUGUGAAAACCCGGGGCUCAACCCCGGGAGUGCAUUAGAAACUGGCGGACUGGGGUGUCGGAGAGGUAAGCGGAAUUCCUAGUGUAGCGGUGAAAUGCGUAGAUAUUAGGAGGAACACCAGUGGCGAAGGCGGCUUACUGGACAGAAACUGACACUGAGGCUCGAAAGCGUGGGGAGCAAAC
rnacentral:rRNA from 1 species